AAUCAACGCUGGCGGCGCGCUUAACACAUGCAAGUCGAACGAGAAAGGGAGCAAUCCUGAGUAAAGUGGCGUACUGGUGAGUAACACGUGGAUAUCUACCUCUUGGUGGGGAAUAACCUGGGGAAACCUGGGCUAAUACCGCAUAAGUUCGUGAGAAGAAAGGCGCAAGUCGCCGAGAGAGGAGUCCGCGGUCGAUUAGGUAGUUGGCGGGUAAAAGCCCACCAAGCCGAAGAUCGAUAGCCGGCCUGAGAGGGCACACGGCCACACUGGCACUGAAACACGGGCCAGACUCCUACGGGAGGCAGCAGUGGGGAAUCUUGCACAAUGGGGGAAACCCUGGAUGCAGCGACGCCGCGUGAGCGAUGAAGCCCUUCGGGGUGUAAAGGCUCUUUCGGCAGGAACGAUAAUGACGGUACCUGCAGAAGAAGCUGCGGCUAACUACGUGCCAGC
rnacentral:rRNA from 1 species